GUGAGAGCACGACCCGCGCCACUGGCACUGAGACACUGGCCAGACUCCUACGGGAGGCUGCAGUCGAGGAUCUUCGGCAAUGGGCGCAAGCCUGACCGAGCGACGCCGCGUGCGCGAUGAAGGCCUUCGGGUUGUAAAGCGCUGUCGAGGGGGAGGAAGACCCGAAAGGGUUUGACCUAUCCCUGGAGGAAGCACGGGCUAAGUUCGUGCCAGCAGCCGCGGUAAGACGAACCGUGCGAACGUUGUUCGGAAUCACUGGGCUUAAAGGGCGCGUAGGCGGGCCUCCCAGUCCGAGGUGAAAGCUUUCGGCUUAACCGGAAAAGUGCCUUGGAUACUGGAGGUCUUGAGGGAGGUAGGGGCAGCUGGAACUUCCGGUUGAGCGGUGAAAUGCGUUGAUAUCGGAAGGAACGCCGGUGGCGAAAGCGAGCUGCUGGAUCUCUACUGACGCUGAGGCGCGAAAGCCAGGGGAGCGAACGGGAUUAGAUACCCCGGUAGUCCUGGCCCUAAACGAUGGGUACUGGGUAGGGGACUGGACAUGGGUUCCCUGCCGCAGCGAAAGUGGUAAGUACCCCGCCUGGGGAGUAUGGUCGCAAGGCUGAAACUCAAAGGAAUUGACGGGGGCUCACACAAGCGGUGGAGCAUGUGGCUUAAUUCGAGGCUACGCGAAGAACCUUAUCCUGGGCUUGACAUGUGCGAAAGCGGUGGGGAGUAGGGAGCGGAAACGUUUCCCCAACGGUAUCCAGUCCGGAACCCACUACAGGUGCUGCAUGGCUGUCGUCAGCUCGUGUCGUGAGAUGUUGGGUUAAGUCCCGUAACGAGCGAAACCCUUGUCUCCAGUUGCCAGCGGGUCAUGCCGGGGACUCUGGAGAGACUGCCGGUGUUAAACCGGAGGAAGGCGGGGAUGACGUCAAGUCCUCAUGGCCUUUAUGCCCAGGGCUGCACACGUGCUACAAUGGCGUGAACAAAGGGACGCAAACCCGCGAGGGGGAGCCAAUCCCAAAAAACACGCCCCAGUUCAGAUCGAAGGCUGCAACUCGCCUUCGUGAAGUCGGAAUCGCUAGUAAUCGCGGGUCAGCAACACCGCGGUGAAUGUGUUCCUGAGCCUUGUACACACCGCCCGUCAAGCCACGAAAGAUCGGGGCGUCCGAAGUCGCUGUGCCAACCGCAAGGGGGCAGGCGCCGAAGACGAAACGGUCGAUUGGGACUAAGUCGGAACAAGGUA
rnacentral:rRNA from 1 species